AUUGAACGCUGGCGGAAUGCUUACACAUGCAAGUCGAACGGGUAGAGGGGGGCAACCCCUUGAGAGUGGCGAACGGGUGAGUAAUAUAUCGGAACGUGCCCAGUCGUGGGGGAUAACGUAGCGAAAGCUACGCUAAUACCGCAUACGAUCUAUGGAUGAAAGCGGGGGAUCGCAAGACCUCGCGCGAUUGGAGCGGCCGAUAUCAGAUUAGGUAGUUGGUGAGGUAAAGGCUCACCAAGCCGACGAUCUGUAGCUGGUCUGAGAGGACGACCAGCCACACUGGGACUGAGACACGGCCCAGACUCCUACGGGAGGCAGCAGUGGGGAAUUUUGGACAAUGGGCGCAAGCCUGAUCCAGCAAUGCCGCGUGCAGGAUGAAGGCCUUCGGGUUGUAAACUGCUUUUGUACGGAACGAAACGGUGAGCUCUAAUACAGUUUGCUAAUGACGGUACCGUAAGAAUAAGCACCGGCUAACUACGUG
rnacentral:rRNA from 1 species